rnacentral:ribozyme from 1 species
GGAGGCUGAGGCUCAGGAGGCAAAGGCUCGUGAAGCUGCAAAGCAAGCACAGUCUCGCAUUCCGUCUGCUGGGCACACCGAAGGCAGGCAGGCGUCC